rnacentral:rRNA from 1 species
GAUGAACGCUGGCGGCGUGCCUAAUACAUGCAAGUCGAGCGAACAGACGAGGAUCUUGCUCCUCUUACGUUUGCGGCGGACGGGUGUUUAACACGUGUAUAACCUACCUAUAUGUCUGGGAUAACUUCGGGAAACCGGAUCUUAUACCGGAUAAUAUAUUGAACCGCUUGGUUCUAUAGUUAAUGUCGGUUUUUCUGUCACUUAUUGAUGGUUCCUCGCCGCAUUAGCUAGUUGGUAAGGUAACGGCUUACCAAGGCAACGAUGCGUAGCCGACCUGAGAGGGUGAUCGGCCACACUGGAAGUGAGACACGGUCCAGACUCCUACGGGAGGCAGCAGUAGGGAAUAGUCGGCAAUGGGCGAAAGCGUGACGGAGCAAAGCCGCGUGAGAGAAGAAGGUCUUAGGAUCGUAAAACUCUGUUAUUAGGGAAGAAAAAAUGUGGAAGAAAAUAUGGACGUAUUGACGGUACCAAAAAAGAAAGCCACGGCUAACUACGUG